rfam:Loxodonta africana unplaced genomic scaffold scaffold_8, whole genome shotgun sequence.
AGUGAUUAAGCACUUGGCUGCUAACCAAAAGGUUGGUGGUUCAAACCCACCAACCACUC